rnacentral:rRNA from 1 species
GGGUCAGUAGGUUGGUCGUGCCACCGGUACGUACUGGUCUCACUGAUUCCUCCUUCCUGAAGAACCGUAAUGCCAUUAAUUUGGUGUUGCGGGGAAUCUGGACUGUUACUUUGAAAAAAUUAGAGUGUUUAAAGCAAGCUAACGCUUGAAUACAUUAGCAUGGAAUAAUGAAAUAGGACGAUCGAUCCUAUUUUGUUGGUUUCUAGGAUUGACGUA